rnacentral:misc_RNA from 1 species
GUGGAUAUCGCCGACGACAUCCCAUGUUCUUCCAUCGCCGUCGAUUCCGUUAUUCGAAUGGGCACCGCUGGCUUAAUCUGGGGCUCCUGUUCUGGUCCUUACGACGCCAAUAAAUUAGGUCUUUCUGGCAUUAAUAGAGCUUCUUUUAUUGCUAAGUCAGUUGGUCGGCUUGGCUUUCAGUGGGGAUUGUUUGCUGCUAUAUUUUCUUCCACUCGGUGUGGGUUUCAGAGAUAUAGAAGACGAAAUGAUUGGGUUAAUGUUUUGACUGCUGGUGUUGUAGCAGGGGCUGCUUUUGGUGCAGGUACCCGAAACUGGAAGCAGGUUGCUGGAGCAACAGGUCUCGUGUGUCUCUUAUGUCAUGUUGCUGAGGACUCCCGAUAAACUUUGGCUUUGAUUUGUUGAGAAGGAACUAAAAUAGUCUGCAGUAGGGAAUUGGACACUCCAAACUGCUAAUAAUUUCAUGUUGACUAAGGAGCGUGGGAUAGCAGUAUGCUUCACCGAAUGGGAGACAUAACUCAGUAAAUUGAAGUUGAUACAAGAUUUAUGAUGUUGAUUUGUUGGCCAUUAGUUUAUCUGUUGGGGGAAAUAAACCUAACAUAUGAAUUACGAAGCGUUUUCUCUAGUGCACAGUUGCUUGGUGUUGAUUAUAGGUUGGUUGGUUGGUUGAACUACAGUUGCGUUGUUGGGAGUAAAUUCUAG